rnacentral:rRNA from 1 species
UACGUAGGGGGCAAGCGUUGUCCGGAAUCAUUGGGCGUAAAGAGCGUGUAGGCGGCUUGGCAAGUCUCGCGUGAAAUCCUGCGGCUCAACCGCAGGCGGUCGCGGGAAACUGCCUCGCUAGGAGUCCGGAAGAGGAGAGUGGAAAUUCCUGGUGUAGCGGUGGAAUGCGCAGAUAUCAGGAAGAACACCCCGUGGCGAAGGCGGCUCUCUGGGACGGUACUGGACGGCUGAGACGCGAAAGCGUGGGGAGCGAACAGG